UUCAUCUUAAACUUUAAAAUACAACAAAAGACACUUGCUUGUAGACAAACUACACCUCCAGUUUCCUUCAACUCCAGAGAUAAUGAAUCGUUGGGUUGGGUCAAUAUUUCUAUGCAUUAUCAGCACAUUGCUUCUGACGAGCUGGUUGGUGGCGGCGGAGGGGGAGACAUGCUCGGGGAUAGUACCAAUGCAAUAUCGAAAUGAUAAGAUAUCGAUAUUGGACUUUGGAGGUGUAGGUGAUGGGCGGACAUUGAAUACAAAAGCGUUUAAAGAAGCAAUCUUUAGAAUUCAACACUUGAAGAGGAAGGGUGGAACUUUGCUUUACAUACCUGCUGGUGUAUAUUUGACUGGCCCAUUUGAUCUUACUAGUCGAAUGACUCUUUAUUUGGCCCGCGGUGCUGUUAUCAAAGCCACUCAGGAUCCCAGUCAAUGGCCAUUAGUUGAUCCAUUGCCUUCAUAUGGGAGAGGAAGAGAGCGACCUGGUGCAAGGUAUAUGAGCUUACUCCAUGGAGACGGGCUCCAUGAUGUGAUAAUCACAGGUGAGAAUGGUACUAUUGAUGGCCAGGGUGAUGUUUGGUGGAAUAUGUGGAGGCAAAGAACUCUUCAGUUUACACGACCUCAUCUCGUUGAACUAAUGAACUCCAGAGGCAUACUCAUUUCUAAUGUCAUUUUCAAGAACUCUCCCUUUUGG
rnacentral:misc_RNA from 1 species